UACAGAGGUGGCAAGCGUUGUUCGGAAUUACUGGGCGUAAAGGGCGCGUAGGCGGUCCGAUAAGUCCCGUGUGAAAGCCCCCGGCUCAACUGGGGAACUGCACGGGAAACUGACGGACUUGAGUUCGGGAGAGGGAAGCGGAAUUCCGGGUGUAGCGGUGAAAUUCGUAGAUAUCGAGAGGAACACCGGUGGCGAAGGCGGCGAUCUGGACGAUGACUGACGCUGAGACGCGAAAGCGUGGGGAGCAAACAGG
rnacentral:rRNA from 1 species